GACGAACGCUGGCGGCGUGCUUAACACAUGCAAGUCGAACGGAAAGGCCCCUUUGGGGGUACUCGAGUGGCGAACGGGUGAGUAACACGUGAGUAACCUGCCCUUGACUUCGGGAUAACUUCAGGAAACUGGGGCUAAUACCGGAUAGGAAUCCUUGCUGCAUGGUGGGGGUUGGAAAGCUUCGGCGGUUUUGGAUGGACUCGCGGCUUAUCAGCUUGUUGGUGGGGUAGUGGCUUACCAGGGCUUUGACGGGUAGCCGGCCUGAGAGGGCGACCGGCCACAUUGGGACUGAGAUACGGCCCAGACUCCUACGGGAGGCAGCAGUGGGGAAUAUUGCACAAUGGGCGGAAGCCUGAUGCAGCAACGCCGCGUGCGGGAUGACGGCCUUCGGGUUGGAAACCGCUUUCAGCAGGGGCGAAGCUUGUGGUGACGGUACCUGCAGAAGAAGCACCGGCUAACUACGUG
rnacentral:rRNA from 1 species